CCGGAGAGAUCUAAGGCCUGAGCUCAACAGCAAGUCCCAGCACCAGAAUUUUCAACACAGUUGUAACGACAUAAAAGUAUCUAGAGCGGCAUACAAACUGCUUAUCAUACAGAAAUUUAUUGCUCCCCAAGGAGAAACCAGAAGAUAGAAGGAGAAGCAGAGAACAUGAUGAUCUUGAAGCCUCUUUAAGCAUCUGUCGCAGCAGCACGGUCCUGGGAAAGACUUGAACUUUUUGGUCAUCCCAUGAUUCUUCUAGUCUCCAGGCGCCACCCAUGUGCUGCUCUAAACACUUCUUCAGCCACUUCACCAACCUGCUUCACUCCUGCCUUCAUCAUGUCACUUCUUGUGGGGUUUUUCUGCAAAAUGUUCCAAUCAUGUAAAUUUUUGAAGCAACAGAUUAACAGGUAUGCAGGGAUCAUUCACCCUGUUAUUUUCAAAAACAACACUAUUUCUCAGUUUCUAAAUAGUCCAACAUAUAGCCGAAAUCCCUAUCAUAACUAAGCCCCUCUCUUCUCUUCCAAAGGUCUUGACCCAAGUUCUCAUCACCAGAUCGAGACAUCUGGAAUGUCAGUUAAACUGAAAGCACAUUUUAAAAUAUUCCAUAAUACCUAGCUACAGAGCAGGAUAUAAAGAGAUGGUUUAUACUUUCUUCACGCUCACAAAAUGGGCAUUUCUCAUCUCCUUUCCACCCCCUACAUAGCAGAUGUGAGGAUGUUAUUCCUAAGAGCCAGCCACAUAAAGACCUUGACUCCAGAUGGCAUUUUGAUUUUCCACAUAUAAAGAUGUGGGUAUUGUUGGAAAUAUGCCCUAGAGGCAAUAAUAAAAGUAUUAUUAUAUUUCAUUGUUCAUGAUAAUUGUCUUGUAUUCAUGCUAUAACUGUAUUAUCCGGAAAUCGUAAUACACGUGUGAAUACUUAGACCACACUAUGUCCCUGGUAAGCCUCUAGUUGACCAGCCCGUUGUGAUCAACAGAUAGUCAUGGUUUCCUGACUAUGGACAUUGGAUGUCAUUGAUAACGGGAUCACAUCAUUAGGAGAAUGAUGUGAUGGACAAGACCCAAUCCUAAGCAUAGCAUAAAAGAUCGUGUAGUUCGUUUUGCUAGAGCUUUGCAAGUGUCAAGUAUCUCUUCCUUCGACCAUGAGAUCGUGUAACUCCCGGAUACCGUAAGAAUGCCUUGGGUGUGCCAAACGUCACAACGUAACUGGGUGACUAUAAAGGUGCAUUACAGGUAUCUCCGAAAGUAGCUGUUGGGUUGACACGGAUCGAGACUGGGAUUUGUCACUCCGUAUGACGGAGAGGUAUCUCUGGGCCCACUCGGUAAUGCAUCAUCAUAAUGAGCUCAAAGUGACCAAAGUGUUGGACACGGGAUCAUGCAUUACGGUACGAGUAAAGUGACUUGCCGGUAACGAGACUGAACAAGGUAUUGGGAUACCGACGAUCAAGUCUCGGGCAAGUAACGUACCGAUUGGCAAAGGGAAUUGUAUACAGGGUUUGAUCGAAUCCUCGACAUAGUGGUUCAUCCGAUGACAACAUCGAGGAGCAUGUGGGAGCCAUCAUGGGUAUCCAGAUCCCGCUGAUGGUUAUUGACUAAGAGAGUCUCGGUCAUGUCUACAUGUCUCCCGAACCCGUAGGGUCUACACACUUAAGGUUCAGUCACGCUAGGGUUGUAGGGAUAUGUAUAUGCAGUAACCCGAAUGUUGUUCAGAGUCCCGGAUGAGAUCCCGGACGUCACGAGGAGUUCCGGAAUGGUCCGGAGGUAAAGAUUUAUAUAUGGGAAGUCCUGUUUCGGGCAUCGGGACAAGUUUCGGGGUUAUCGGUAUUGUACCGGGACCACCGGAGGGGUCCCGGGGGCCCACCGGGUGGGGCCACCCAUCCCCGGGGGCCACAUGGGCUGUAGGGGGUGCGCCUUGGCCUACAUGGGCCAAGGGCACCAGCCCCACAAGGCCCAUGCGCCUAGGGUUUCCAAGGGGGAGGAGUCCUACUAGUGGAAGGCACCUCCUAGGUGCCUUGGGGGGGAGGGAAUCCCCCCUUGGCCGCCGCACCCCCUAGGAGAUUUGAUCUCCUAGGGCCGGCCACCCCCCUUGGCACCCCUAUAUAUAGUGGGGGGAGAGGAGGGACUUCAUACCUUGUGCCCUGGCCUUUGGUUGCCUCCUUCUCCCUCCCCAACACCUCCUCCAACUCCAUAGCGCUUAGCGAAGCUCUGCCGGAGUACUGCAGCUCCACCAACACCACGCCGUCGUGCUGCUGCUGGUGCCAUCUCCCUCAACCUCUCCUCCCUUCCUUGCUGGAUCAAGAAGGAGGAGACGUGGCUGUUCCGUAUGUGUGUUGAACGCGGAGGUGCCGUCCGUUCGGCGCAGGUCAUCGGUGAUUUGAAUCACGUCGAGUACGACUACAUCAUCACCUUGCAAGCUUCCGCACGCGAUCUACAAGUGGUAUGUAGAUGCAAACUCUCUCCCUAGACUCGUUGCUUAGAUGAACUCAUAGAUGGAUCUUGGUGAAAUCGUAGGAAAAAUUUUAAUUUUCUGCAACGUUCCCCAACAGUGGCAUCAUGAGCUAGGUCUAUGCGUAGUUCUCUUUGCACGAGUAGAACACAACUUUGUUGUGGGCGUGGAUUUUGUCAUCUUACUUGCCUCUACUAGUCUUUUCUUGCUCAACGGUAUUGUGGGAUGAAGCGGCCCGGACCAACCUUACACGUACGCUUACGUGAGACCGGUUCCACCGACUGACAUGCACAAGUUGCAUAAGGUGGCUGGCGGGUGUCUGUCUCUCCCACCUUAGUUGGAGCGGAAUCGAUGAACAGGGCCCUUAUGAAGGGUAAAUAGAAGUUGACAAAAUCACGUUGUGGUGAUUCGUAGGUAAGAAAACGUUCUUGCUAGAACCCAAUUGCAGCCACGUAAAAGAUGCAACAACAAUUAGAGGACGUCUAACUUGUUUUUGCAGCGAUUGAUCAUGUGAUGUGAUAUGGCCAGAAGUUGUGAUGAAUGAUGAAUUGUGAUGUAUGAGAUCAUGUUCUUUGUAAUAGGAUUCACGACUUGCAUGUCGGUGAGUAUGACAACCGGCAGGAGCCAUAGGAGUUGUCAUUAUUUUUUGUAUGACCUGCGUGUCAUUGAAUAACGUCAUGUAAACUACUUUACUUUAUUGCUAAACGUUAGUCAUAGAAGUAGAAGUAGUCGUUGGCGUGACAACUUCAUGAAGACACGAUGAUGGAGAUCAUGAUGAUGGAGAUCAUGGUGUCAAGCCGGUGACAAGAUGAUCAUGGAGCCCCGAAGAUGAAGAUCAAUGGAGCUAUAUGAUAUUGGCCAUAUCAUGUCACAACUAUAUAAUUGCAUGUGAUGUUUAUUAUGUAUUAUGCAUCUUGUUUACUUAGGACGACGGUAGUAAAUAAGAUGAUCCCUUAUAAAAUUUCAAGAAGUGUUCUCCCCUAACUGUGCACCGUUGCUACAGUUCGUCGUUUCUAAGCACCACGUGAUGAUCGGGUGUGAUGGAUUCUUACGUUCACAUACAACGGGUGUAAGACAGUUUUACACAGCGAAAACACUUAGGGUUAACUUGACGAGCCUAGCAUGUGCAGACAUGGCCUCGGAACACGGAGACCGAAAGGUCGAACACGAGUCGUAUGGAAGAUACGAUCAACAUGAAAAUGUUCACCGACGAUGACUAGUCCGUCUCACGUGAUGAUCGGACACGGGCUAGUCGAAUCGGAUCGUGUAACACUUAGAUGACUAAAGGGAUGUCUAAUCUAAGUGGGAGUUCAUAAUUUGAUUAGAACUUUAUUAUCAUGAACUUAGUCUAAAACCUUUGCAAAUAUGUCUUGUAGAUCAAUGGCCAACGCUAAUGUCAACAUGAACUUCAAUGCGUUCCUAGAGAAAACCAAGCUGAAAGAUGAUGGCAGCAACUAUACGGACUGGGUCCGGAACCUGAGGAUCAUCCUCAUAGCUGCCAGGAAACAAUAUGUCCUAGAAGGACCGCUAGGUGACGCUCCCGUCCCAGAGAACCAAGACAUUAUGAAUGCUUGGCAAACUCGCGCUGAUGAUUACUCCCUCGUUCAGUGCGGCAUGCUUUACAGCUUAGAACCGGGGCUCCAAAAGCGUUUUGAGCAUCACGGAGCAUAUGAGAUGUUCGAAGAGCUGAAACUAGUUUUUCAAGCUCAUGCCCGGGUCGAGAGAUAUGAUGUCUCCGACAAGUUCUACAGUUGUAAGAUGGAGGAAAACAGUUCUGUCAGUGAGCACAUCCUGAAGAUGUCUGGGUUGCACAACCGUAUGACCCAGCUAAACAUAAACCUCCCAGAUGAGGCGGUCAUUGACAGAAUCCUCCAGUCGCUCCCACCAAGCUACAAGAGCUUUGUGAUGAACUACAACAUGCAAGGAAUGGAAAAGACCAUUCCUGAAUUGUUCUCAAUGCUGAAGUCAGCAGAGGCUGAAAUCAAGAAAGAACAUCAAGUGUUGAUGGUCAAUAAGACCACUAAGUUCAAGAAGGGCAAGGGUAAGAAGAACUUCAAGAAGGACGGCAAAGAUGUUGCCGCGCCUGGUAAGCCAGUUACCGGGAAGAAGUCAAAGAAUGGACCCAAGCCUGAGACUGAGUGCUUUUAUUGCAAGGGGAAGGGUCACUGGAAGCGGAACUGCCCCAAAUACUUAGCGGAUAAGAAGGCCGGCAACACCAAAGGUAUAUUUGAUAUACAUGUGAUUGAUGUGUACCUUACCAGUAAUCGUAGUAACUCCUGGGUAUUUGAUACCGGUGCCGUUGCUCAUAUUUGUAACUCACAGCAGGAGCUACGGAAUAAACGGAGACUGGCAAAGGAUGAGGUGACGAUGCGCGUCGGGAAUGGUUCCAAAGUCGAUGUGAUCGCCGUCGGCACGCUGCCUCUACAUUUACCUACGGGAUUAGUUUUGAACCUCAAUAAUUGUUAUUUAGUGCCAAGUUUGAGCAUGAACAUUGUAUCUGGAUCUCGUUUAAUACGAGAUGGCUACUCAUUUAAGUCUGAGAAUAAUGGUUGUUCGAUUUAUAUGAGAGAUAUAUUUUAUGGUCAUGCUCCGAUGGUCAAUGGUUUAUUCUUAAUGAAUCUCGAGCGUAAUAUUACACAUGUUCAUAGUGUAGAUGCCAAAAGAUUUAAAGUUGAUAACGAUAGUCCCACAUACUUGUGGCACUGCCGCCUUGGUCACAUUGGUGUCAAGCGCAUGAAGAAGCUCCAUGCUGAUGGACUUUUAGAGUCUCUUGAUUAUGAAUCAUUUGACACGUGCGAACCCUGCCUCUUAGGUAAAAUGACCAAGACUCCGUUCUCCGGAACAAUGGAGCGAGCAACCAACUUGUUGGAAAUCAUACAUACCGAUGUGUGCGGUCCAAUGAGCGUUGAGGCUCGCGGAGGAUAUCGUUAUGUUCUCACUCUCACAGAUGACUUGAAUAGAUAUGGGUAUGUCUACUUAAUGAAACACAAGUCUGAGACCUUUGAAAAGUUCAAGGAAUUUCAGAAUGAGGUGGAGAAUCAACGUGACCGAAAGAUAAAAUUCUUACGAUCAGAUCGUGGAGGAGAAUACUUAAGUCACGAAUUUGGUACACACUUAAAGAAAUGUGGAAUCGUUUCACAGCUCACGCCGCCUGGAACACCUCAGCGAAACGGUGUGUCCGAACGUCGUAAUCGCACUCUAUUGGAUAUGGUGCGGUCUAUGAUGUCUCUUACCGAUUUACCGCUAUCAUUUUGGGGAUACGCUCUAGAGACAGCUACAUUCACUUUAAAUAGGGCACCGUCUAAAUCCGUUGAGACGACACCGUAUGAAUUAUGGUUUGGAAAGAAACCUAAGCUGUCGUUUCUAAAAGUUUGGGGAUGCGAAGCUUAUGUCAAGAAACUUCAACCUGAAAAGCUCGAACCAAAGUCGGAAAAAUGCGUAUUCAUAGGACACCCUAAGGAAACUAUAGGGUAUACCUUCUACUUAAGAUCCGAAGGCAAGAUCUUUGUUGCCAAGAACGGAUGCUUUCUGGAGAAAGAGUUUCUCUCGAAAGAAGUAAGUGGGAGGAAAGUAGAACUCGAUGAAGUACUACCUCUUGAGCGGGAUAGUGACGCAGCACAGGAAACCAUUCCUGUGAUGCCCACACCAACUGAAGAGGAAAACCAUGAUGAUGAUCAAGGUACUUCGGAUCAAGUUACUGCUGAACUUCGUAGGUCCACAAGGACACGUUCCGCACCAGAGUGGUACGGCAACCCUGUCCUGGAAAUCGUGUUGUUAGACAACAAUGAACCUUCGAACUAUGAAGAAGCAAUGACGGGCCCGGAUUCCAACAAAUGGCUUGAAGCCAUGAAAUCCGAGAUAGAAUCCAUGUAUGAAAACAAAGUAUGGACUUUGACAGACUUGCCCGAUGAUCGGCGAGCGAUAGAAAACAAAUGGAUCUUUAAGAAGAAGACGGACGCGGAUGGUAAUGUUACCAUCUAUAAAGCUCGACUUGUCGCUAAGGGUUAUCGACAGGUUCAAGGGAUUGACUACGACGAGACAUUCUCUCCCGUAGCGAAGCUAAAGUCCGUCCGAAUCAUGUUAGCAAUUGCCGCAUACUAUGAUUAUGAGAUAUGGCAGAUGGACGUCAAAACAGCAUUCCUUAACGGGCAUCUUAAGGAAGAACUGUAUAUGAUGCAGCCGGAAGGUUUUGUCGAUCCUCAGAACGCUAACAAAGUAUGCAAGCUCCAGCGAUCCAUUUAUGGACUGGUGCAAGCAUCUCGGAGUUGGAACAUUCGCUUUGAUGAGAUGAUCAAAGCGUUUGGGUUUAUGCAAACUUAUGGAGAAGCCUGCGUUUACAAGAAAGUGAGUGGGAGCUCUGUAGCAUUUCUCAUAUUAUAUGUAGAUGACAUACUCCUGAUGGGAAAUAAUAUAGAAUUUCUGGACAGCAUUAAGGCCUACUUGAAUAAGUGUUUUUCAAUGAAGGACCUUGGAGAAGCUGCUUAUAUAUUAGGCAUCAAGAUCUAUAGAGAUAGAUCGAGACGCCUCAUAGGUCUUUCACAAAGUACAUACCUUGAUAAGAUUUUGAAGAGAUUCAGAAUGGAUCAGUCCAAGAAGGGGUUCUUGCCUAUGUUACAAGGUAUGAGACUGAGCUCAGCUCAGUCACCGACCACGGCAAAAGAUAAAGAAGAGAUGAGUGUCAUCCCCUAUGCUUCAGCCAUAGGAUCUAUUAUGUAUGCCAUGCUGUGUACCAGACCCGAUGUAAACCUUGCCGUAAGUUUGGUAGCAAGAUACCAAAGUAAUCCCGGCAAGGAACACUGGACAGCAGUCAAGAAUAUCCUGAAGUACCUGAAAAGGACAAAGGACAUGUUUCUCGUUUAUGGAGGAGACGAAGAGCUCGUCGUAAAGGGUUACGUCGACGCUAGCUUUGACUCAGAUCCGGAUGACUCUAAGUCACAAACCGGAUACGUGUAUAUGUUGAAUGGUGGAGCAGUAAGCUGGUGCAGCUGCAAGCAGAGCGUCGUGGCGGGAUCUACGUGUGAAGCGGAGUACAUGGCAGCCUCGGAGGCAGCACAUGAAGCGAUUUGGGUGAAGGAGUUCAUCACCGACCUAGGAGUCAUACCCAAUGCGUCGGGGCCGAUCAAACUCUUCUGUGACAACACUGGAGCUAUUGCCCUCGCAAAGGAGCCCAGGUUUCACAAGAAGACCAGGCACAUCAAGCGUCGUUUCAAUUCCAUCCGUGAAAAUGUUCAAGAUGGAGACAUAGAGAUUUGCAAAGUGCACACGGAUCUGAAUGUCGCAGAUCCGCUGACUAAACCUCUCUCGCGUGCAAAACAUGAUCAACACCAGAACUCUAUGGGUGUUCGAUUCAUCACAAUGUAACUAGAUUAGUGACUCUAGUGCAAGUGGGAGACUGUUGGAAAUAUGCCCUAGAGGCAAUAAUAAAAGUAUUAUUAUAUUUCAUUGUUCAUGAUAAUUGUCUUGUAUUCAUGCUAUAACUGUAUUAUCCGGAAAUCGUAAUACACGUGUGAAUACUUAGACCACACUAUGUCCCUGGUAAGCCUCUAGUUGACCAGCCCGUUGUGAUCAACAGAUAGUCAUGGUUUCCUGACUAUGGACAUUGGAUGUCAUUGAUAACGGGAUCACAUCAUUAGGAGAAUGAUGUGAUGGACAAGACCCAAUCCUAAGCAUAGCAUAAAAGAUCGUGUAGUUCGUUCUGCUAGAGCUUUGCAAGUGUCAAGUAUCUCUUCCUUCGACCAUGAGAUCGUGUAACUCCCGGAUACCGUAAGAAUGCCUUGGGUGUGCCAAACGUCACAACGUAACUGGGUGACUAUAAAGGUGCAUUACAGGUAUCUCCGAAAGUAGCUGUUGGGUUGACACGGAUCGAGACUGGGAUUUGUCACUCCGUAUGACGGAGAGGUAUCUCUGGGCCCACUCGGUAAUGCAUCAUCAUAAUGAGCUCAAAGUGACCAAAGUGUUGGACACGGGAUCAUGCAUUACGGUACGAGUAAAGUGACUUGCCGGUAACGAGACUGAACAAGGUAUUGGGAUACCGACGAUCAAGUCUCGGGCAAGUAACGUACCGAUUGGCAAAGGGAAUUGUAUACAGGGUUUGAUCGAAUCCUCGACAUAGUGGUUCAUCCGAUGACAACAUCGAGGAGCAUGUGGGAGCCAUCAUGGGUAUCCAGAUCCCGCUGAUGGUUAUUGACUAAGAGAGUCUCGGUCAUGUCUACAUGUCUCCCGAACCCGUAGGGUCUACACACUUAAGGUUCAGUCACGCUAGGGUUGUAGGGAUAUGUAUAUGCAGUAACCCGAAUGUUUUUCGGAGUCCCGGAUGAGAUCCCGGACGUCACGAGGAGUUCCGGAAUGGUCCGGAGGUAAAGAUUUAUAUAUGGGAAGUCCUGUUUCGGGCAUCGGGACAAGUUUCGGGGUUAUCGGUAUUGUACCGGGACCACCGGAGGGGUCCCGGGGGCCCACCGGGUGGGGCCACCCAUCCCCGGGGGCCACAUGGGCUGUAGGGGGUGCGCCUUGGCCUACAUGGGCCAAGGGCACCAGCCCCACAAGGCCCAUGCGCCUAGGGUUUCCAAGGGGGAGGAGUCCUACUAGUGGAAGGCACCUCCUAGGUGCCUUGGGGGGGAGGGAAUCCCCCCUUGGCCGCCGCACCCCCUAGGAGAUUUGAUCUCCUAGGGCCGGCCACCCCCCUUGGCACCCCUAUAUAUAGCGGGGGGAGAGGAGGGACUUCAUACCUUGUGCCCUGGCCUUUGGUUGCCUCCUUCUCCCUCCCCAACACCUCCUCCAACUCCAUAGCGCUUAGCGAAGCUCUGCCGGAGUACUGCAGCUCCACCAACACCACGCCGUCGUGCUGCUGCUGGUGCCAUCUCCCUCAACCUCUCCUCCCUUCCUUGCUGGAUCAAGAAGGAGGAGACGUGGCUGUUCCGUACGUGUGUUGAACGCGGAGGUGCCGUCCGUUCGGCGCAGGUCAUCGGUGAUUUGAAUCACGUCGAGUACGACUACAUCAUCACCUUGCAAGCUUCCGCACGCGAUCUACAAGUGGUAUGUAGAUGCAAACUCUCUCCCUAGACUCGUUGCUUAGAUGAACUCAUAGAUGGAUCUUGGUGAAACCGUAGGAAAAAAUUUAAUUUUCUGCAACGUUCCCCAACAGGUAUUUGAUCCCAUUUUUUAUCAAGUGUGUAUAGAAUGACUUUACAGUACAGACCCCUUUUUUAGUCAGUGUCCACUUCACCUUAUCUUUGUUCUCACUCAGGACCAUCGAGCUACAUACUUCUUUUAAGUGUUCCCAUAAUUCCCUUGCGACCCUGUCAAAGUUCUUCUAAAAUGCAUGUUGUCAAUCCCCCCUUCAAUGAUCUCCUUGACCGUUUUCUUCUUAUCAAAACAAAUAUUAUACAACCUAGGGAAGUUUUUACUCAAAGGUGC
rnacentral:lncRNA from 1 species